rnacentral:rRNA from 1 species
CAGUCGAGCGGUAACAGGUGUAGCAAUACAUGCUGACGAGCGGCGAACGGGUGAGUAAUACUUUGGAAUCUUCCCAGUAGUGGGGAAUAACCAGUCGAAAGAUUGGCUAAUACCGCAUACGUCUGUGAAGAGAAAGCGGGGGAUCGUAAGACCUCGCGCUAUUGGAUGAGCCAAAGUCGGAUUAGCUAGUUGGUGGGGUAAUGGCCUACCAAGGCGACAAUCCGUAGCUGGUCUGAGAGGACGACCAGCCACACCGGAACUGAGACACGGUCCGGACUCCUACGGGAGGCAGCAGUGGGGAAUAUUGGACAAUGGGGGAAACCCUGAUCCAGCGACGCCGCGUGUGUGAAGAAGGCCUGCGGGUUGUAAAGCACUUUUAGUGGGGACAAAAAGUCACGGGCUAACAUCCUGUGAUCUUGAUUUAACUCACAGAAAAAGCACCGGCUAACUCUG